ensembl:lncRNA
CCAGAACAGACUGGGGGCCACGACAACUGAACGUCAGUGAGGGUCAUAACCAGAACAGACUGGGGGCCACGACAACUGAACGUCAGUGAGGGUCAUAACCAGAACAGACUGGGGGCCACGACAACUGAACGUCAGUGAGGGUCAUAACUAAAAAGGCAUUGUGCCAAAAGAAAGUAAAAGAGACAUCUGGAUAGAUCUGCUAGUUCCAUUUUCAGAUGGAAAAAAUGAAUUCAGGUUCAAUUGAAUAAAGGCGUUAAUUUCAGGGACUUGUCCAAAACUAAAAACAUGAUUUAAAAGUGUUUCACGUUCAUUCUGACAAUAUUUGUGGUUCUGAACGGUUUCCAACAGUCUGACCGACACGUAGCCUGAAAUCCAGUCAUCUUUGUGCUAACAUUCCACUCCUUGCCAAUCCUUGUCAUGCCAAACAGUGGCAAGGAGUGGAAUGUUAAGACAUCCUGGAUUCCAGGCUACCCAUCAGGCAGGCUGACAGAACAGUGAGGGUGUAUCUUAGCAACGAGGGAACAUGAACUGAAUUAUACCAUUUUAUUACUAAAAACAAAAGGCUUCAUCAUGUUUCAUCUGAAAACAGGCUUUACAUGAGCCUACCCACACGUUAGAAAAAUAGAGUUGCAGUUAGGAAUAUGAUGUAUAUCAUAGCAAAAAUAUACGUGGACCUUUCUCUGUGUGGGGAGGCAGGUAGCCUAGUGGUUAGAGUGGAGGGGCGGCAGGGUAGCCUAGUGGUUAGAGUGGAGGGGCGGCAGGGUAGCCUAGUGGUUAGAGUGGAGGGGCGGCAGGGUAGCCUAGUGGUUAGAGUGGAGGGGCGGCAGGGUAGCCUAGUGGUUAGAGUGGAGGGGCGGCAGGGUAGCCUAGUGGUUAGAGUGGAGGGGCGGCAGGGUAGCCUAGUGGUUAGAGGGGAGGGGCGGCAGGGUAGCCUAGUGGUUAGAGAGGAGGGGCGGCAGGGUAGCCUAGUGGUUAGAGAGGAGGGGCGGCAGGGUAGCCUAGUGGUUAGAGAGGGGCGGCAGGGUAGCCUAGUGGUUAGAGCGUUGAGCUAGUCACCGAAAGGUUACAAGUUCAAAUCCCUGAGCUGACAAGGUACAAAUCUGUUGUUCUGCCCCUGAACAAGGCAGUUAACCCACUGUUCCCCAGUAGGCCGUCAUUGAAAAUAAGAAUUUGUUCUUAACUGACCUUGUUAAACAAAGGUAAUAAAAAAAAAAUGGGUCCUACUUCUCAGGGCUCAGUCCUACUUCUCAGGGCUCAGUCCUACUUCUCAGGGCUCAGUCCUACUUCUCAGGGCUCAGUCCUACUUCUCAGGGCUCAGUCCUACUUCUCAGGGCUCAGUCCUACUUCUCAGGGCUCAGUCCUACUUCUCAGGGCUCAGUCCUACUUCUCAGGGCUCAGGGGUCAGUCCUACUUCUCAGGGCUCAGGGGUCAGUCCUAGUUCUCAGGGUCAACAUACUGCCAUCUAACAGGCUCUGUCCAACACACAGAGGAGGUUCAACAUACUGCCAUCUAUCCUGACAGGCUCUAUCCAACACACAACAUACUGCCAUCUAUCCUGACAGGAUCUAUCCAACACACAACAUACUGCCAUCUAUCCUGACAGGAUCUGUCCAACACACAACAUACUGCCAUCUAUCCUGACAGGCUCUGUCCAACACACAACAUACUGCCAUCUAUCCUGACAGGCUCUGCCCAACACACAACAUACUGCCAUCUAUCCAACACACAACAUACUACCAUCUAUCCAACACACAACAUACUGCCAUCUAUCCUGACAGGCUCUGUCCAACACACCACAUACUACCAUCUGUCCAACACACAACAUACUGCCAUCUAUCCUGACAGGCUCUGUCCAACACACAACAUACUGCCAUCUAUCCAACACACAACAUACUGCCAUCUAUCCUGACAGGAUCUGUCCAACACACAACAUACUGCCAUCUAUCCUGACAGGAUCUGUCCAACACACAACAUACUGACAUCUAUCCUGACAGGAUCUGUCCAACACACAACAUACUGACAUCUAUCCUGACAGGAUCUGUCCAACACACAGAGUGGUGUUGUUUUUCUACUGCUUAUGAAGCUGCUGGUGACUGGUUGUAUUCUUGGAUUCUACAUGAAAUGCUUCACUUAGGCUAGACUGGUCUAUGUUAGAGCAGAAACUGUGUGGCAGUGUUUACUAGGGUCUUCCCAGACAUACUGUAGUAGAUUCCUUUUGUGGUCCACAUUCAGGAUUAAACAGAAGUCUAAACAAACGGAUGGAUCUGGCUUAAGACGGCACUACGCUAGUUUUCUGAGACACACAAUUAUUCAAGGACGUUACCAGCACAAAGAACAACUAUAAAACAAACGGUUUGUAGUUCCAUCUGUACAAGAGACAGAAACACUGAAGUUAAAUUAUUCCUCUCAUUUAGCUCUCCCUCAACAUACUGUUCCACUGUCUGUUCCAUCAACCAGAGUUCAAUAACAGAACUAUUCUCUGGACCGGGACACAGAACCACCGUCUGUUCCAUCAACCAGAGUUCAAUAACAGAACUAUUCUCUGGACCGGGACACAGAACCACUGUCUGUUCCAUCAACCAGAGUUCAAUAACAGAACUAUACUCUGGACCGGGACACAGAACCACCGUCUGUUCCAUCAACCAGAGUUCAAUAACAGAACUAUUC